AUGAGCAAAGCGCUGAGCCCGCGGUACCAAGGCCUAUCCACAUAUGAAAAGGAGUACCUAGCAGUAAUUGUGGCAGUAGACCAAUGGCGACCGUACCUCCAACAUGAUGAAUUCGUCAUCUCAACUGAUCAACGCAGCCUGGUUCAUCUCAAUGAGCAGCGCCUCACUACACCUUGGCAGCAAAAAGCAUUCACAAAACUAUUGGGGCUGCGGUUCUCGAUCCGUUACAAGAAAGGAAGCGACAACACCGCAGCGGAUGCUCUGUCGCGGGCCAACACCAUGGAGAUUCUGCACUCGGUCAGUUCCUGUCAACCUGCCUGGCUUGAUGACGUCAUCAACAGCUACAACAGCAACCCUCAAGCUCAACAUCUCCUCGAGCAGCUCGCCAUCCGCGAGGAUCCCAAGGGGCGAUUCACCCUGAAGUAG
rnacentral:rRNA from 1 species